GACGAACGCUGGCGGCGUGCUUAACACAUGCAAGUCGAACGGAAAGGCCCUGCUUUUGUGGGGUGCUCGAGUGGCGAACGGGUGAGUAACACGUGAGUAACCUGCCCUUGACUUUGGGAUAACUUCAGGAAACUGGGGCUAAUACCGGAUAGGAGCUCCUGCUGCAUGUUGGGGGUUGGAAAGUUUCGGCGGUUGGGGAUGGACUCGCGGCUUAUCAGCUUGUUGGUGGGGUAGUGGCUUACCAAGGCUUUGACGGGUAGCCGGCCUGAGAGGGUGACCGGCCACAUUGGGACUGAGAUACGGCCCAGACUCCUACGGGAGGCAGCAGUGGGGAAUAUUGCACAAUGGGCGGAAGCCUGAUGCAGCAACGCCGCGUGCGGGAUGACGGCCUUCGGGUUGUAAACCGCUUUCGCAUGUGACGAAGCGUGAGUGACGGUAAUGGGUAAAGAAGCACCGGCUAACUACGUG
rnacentral:rRNA from 1 species